UCCAUCCUGGUUAGACAAUGAAAGUAAAUUCAAAGUAAAAAACACCAAAAUACAAAGGUAAAUUAGAUCACAAGAUAAAAUAUUAAUUAACUUUCUUCUUGUUGACAAGAUUAAUAGUCAAUUUGGUUAAACAAAACAUAAAAAAAAUUUGCCGCCAUCUUUCAUUUAGCAAUUUUUUCUUGACUAAUUAAGACAUUGGGAAAAACUAUUGUAGAGCGAUCUAGCGGUAAAAAGAAGGGGUUAAACUUGAUUCAUAUGUUAAUGUAUAAUAUAGAUGGCGGCAUUAAUGAGUAUCUCUUGGCUGAUUUUACUUGUGUGUUGUGUUUACAAUUAAUAUUAAUUAAUUAGUUUGUGUCCUUCUUACCCGUAGUCCAGGAUCCAUCAUUAUGUUCAAUCUCUUCAACUCCAAUUACAUACCAAAUACAGGCUAACCAGUGAGCAACCAAGGAAAACAAUAACAUAAGCAGAGUUAAUAUAAUGUAACUGUAUUGUGAGUAACGAUCCAUUUUGGCAAAUAAUCGAGCCAAUCUCAAGAGGCGAGUUAAUUUAAGUAAAUGAGUUAACGUGUUCUGUUAAUCAUAUCAUAAGUAUUAUUGAUAACAGGACAAAAGGAUGAAGGUGUAAAGGGUCAACAUGUAGGAUAAAGGACAAAGGAUCAAGACGGACUUACCCUUGUAUAAAGAUUGGCUGCGUACAAAACAUCAAAAGGUAAAGCUGCAAUUAGAUCACAGAAGAACCAACCACGAAUAUAAUGGAUAACAAUUGAUUUCGAUUUGGUUACCACUUCACCUUUCUUAUUUACAAAAGUUGUACGGAAGUUUAAUAAUAUAUCUUUGGACCAAUCAAGGGAAUAGGAAGAGAAGGAAAAAGACAAAAAAAUGAUGAAUUAAUUUAAGGCAACAAUGCAAAGGAGUUAAUGGAAAUGUUGAAAAUGAUUGUUGAUUGCAGCAAAUAAUAAAGCCAGUUAUGUCUUUUGUAUAUAUCCAUAAAUGCAUGAAUGCGAUUCCAUCUCUACACUACUUGAAUUAAUUAGUCUUAUCAAAUUAAUAGAAGCUUAUUACUUACAGUUGCUUUAAGACUAAUUAUAAGGUUAUAUAUUUUACCAUAAGUACCAGUUGCAACUAAAGCAAGUUGUACAAUUACAUUUUGAAUUGAUUACCAUCUAAGACAAUUUGAUUGACGAGAACGGAAAGAAACAAGGGAAAAAGUCUCAUAGUAAAUGGUUAAUUCUGGUUUUUCGAUAUUCCCUUUAUAUCCCAAAGUAAAAUGUAAUUUGAUCAGGUUAUAUCAUAAAUAAAUAAAUAAAUCACAAGCCAAUAGAUAAUUA